AUGCUCUGGUUUCUCUUUAGAUUGCAUAAAUCUUUAGCCUUUUACUAAAAAUUUCUGUGGAGAGGAAAUAUGUGUGGUCUUAAUUUGAACGCACAAAAUAGGUCCAAUAUUGU